AUUGAACGCUGGCGGCAGGCUUAACACAUGCAAGUCGAGCGGGGGAAGGUAGCUUGCUACCGGACCUAGCGGCGGACGGGUGAGUAAUGCUUAGGAAUCUGCCUAUUAGUGGGGGACAACAUCUCGAAAGGGAUGCUAAUACCGCAUACGUCCUACGGGAGAAAGCAGGGGCUCUUCGGACCUUGCGCUAAUAGAUGAGCCUAAGUCGGAUUAGCUAGUUGGUGGGGUAAAGGCCUACCAAGGCGACGAUCUGUAGCGGGUCUGAGAGGAUGAUCGGCGACACGGGGACUGAGACACGGCCCAGACUCCUACGGGAGGCAGCAGUGGGGAAUAUUGGACAAUGGGGGGGACCCUGAUCCAGCCAUGCCGGGUGUGUGAAGAAGGCCUUAUGGUUGUAAAGCACUUUAAGCGAGGAGGAGGCUACUUUAGUUAAUACCUAGAGAUAGUGGACGUUACUCGCAGAAUAAGCACCGGCUAACUCUGUGCCAGCAGCCGCCGUAA
rnacentral:rRNA from 1 species